rnacentral:rRNA from 1 species
AGAGAGAGACAUGCGCGCAUAUCAAUAAGCGGAGGAAAAGAAACUAACUAGGAUUCCCUUAGUAACGGCGAGUGAAGCGGGAAGAGCUCAAAUUUGAAAUCUUCAAGGUUUUACCUUGACGAAUUGUAGUUUAAAGAAGUGUUUUCUGUUGGAGUUUUGGUAAAAGUUCUUUGGAAUAGGACAUCAUAGAGGGUGAGAAUCCCGUAUUUGACCAUUAUUUCCAGCUUUGUGAUACACUUUCAAAGAGUCGGAUUGUUUGGGAAUGCAGUCCAAAAUGGGUGGUAAAUUUCAUCUAAAGCUAAAUAUUGGCGAGAGACCGAUAGCGAACAAGUACCGUGAGGGAAAGAUGAAAAGAACUUUGAAAAGAGAGUUAAACAGUACGUGAAAUUGUCAAAAGGGAAGCGUUUGACAUCAGUGUUGUUUUUCUCGAAAAUCAAUUAAAAAUGGCUGGAUUUUGUGUUGUAUUGACUUUAUCAGCUUUCUGCACUUUUUUCCUGUCUUUUUUAAUGCACUUUUCGUUUAACAAGUCAACAUCAAUUUCUUUUGUUGUAAAAGGGUCAUUGGAAGGUGGCUUUCUUUUCGGAGAAAGUGUUUAUAGCCUUUGGCCUCUGCAAUCGGAGAGAUUGAGGUCUGCUAGCGUAGAUCCUUCGGGGUUAGAUACAUUUGUGCUAAGUUAUAGCCUUUCAUAGACAACUUGUUGACUAUGAUCAGUCAUGUAGCUUACUCGCUUAUGCUACUUUACCUACGCUUAGGAUGUUGACAGCAGUAUAGACUG